GACGAACGCUGGCGGCGUGCCUAAUACAUGCAAGUAGAACGCUGAAGAGAGGAGCUUGCUCUUCUUGGAUGAGUUGCGAACGGGUGAGUAACGCGUAGGUAACCUGCCUGGUAGCGGGGGAUAACUAUUGGAAACGAUAGCUAAUACCGCAUAAAAUUGAUUAUUGCAUGAUAAUUAAUUGAAAGAUGCAACUGCAUCACUACCAGAUGGACCUGCGUUGUAUUAGCUAGUUGGUGAGGUAACGGCUCACCAAGGCGACGAUACAUAGCCGACCUGAGAGGGUGAUCGGCCACACUGGGACUGAGACACGGCCCAGACUCCUACGGGAGGCAGCAGUAGGGAAUCGUCGGCAAUGGGGGGAACCCUGACCGAGCAACGCCGCGUGAGUGAAGAAGGUUUUCGGAUCGUAAAGCUCUGUUGUAAGAGAAGAACGGGUGUGAGAGUGGAAAGUUCACACUGUGACGGUAUCUUACCAGAAAGGGACGGCUAACUACGUG
rnacentral:rRNA from 1 species